GCAUUAAUGGGGUAGUGGUAACCUGGGUCGUUGCCAUAGGUUGUGCCACGUGACUCGACCCGCCGGGAGUUCGAUUCUCUCUUAAUGCA